rnacentral:rRNA from 1 species
GUGCCUAACACAUGCAAGUCGAACGAGAAAGUGGAGCAAUCCAUGAGUACAGUGGCGUACGGGUGAGUAACACGUGACUAACCUACCCUCGAGUGGGGAAUAACCUCGGGAAACCGGGGCUAAUACCGCAUAACAUCUACGGAUCAAAUGCGUAAGCAGCUUGAGGAGGGGGUCGCGGCUGAUUAGCUAGUUGGCGGGGUAAUGGCCCACCAGCAGUGAUCAGUAGCCGGCCUGAGAGGGCGCACGGUCACACUGGAACUGAAACACGGUCCAG